CAGUCGCCGCGGUAAUACGGAGGGUGCAAGCGUUAUCCGGAUUUAUUGGGUUUAAAGGGUCCGUAGGCUGACUUAUAAGUCAGUGGUGAAAGCCUGUCGCUUAACGAUAGAACUGCCAUUGAUACUGUAAGUCUUGAGUAUAUUUGAGGUAGCUGGAAUAAGUAGUGUAGCGGUGAAAUGCAUAGAUAUUACUUAGAACACCAAUUGCGAAGGCAGGUUACCAAGAUAUAACUGACGCUGAGGGACGAAAGCGUGGGUAGCGAACAGGAUUAGAUACCCCGGUAGUCCCUGUCUCUUAUAA
rnacentral:rRNA from 1 species